rnacentral:rRNA from 1 species
UAACGAACGCUGGCGGCGUGCCUAAUACAUGCAAGUCGAACGCUUCUUUUUCCACCGGAGCUUGCUCCACCGGAAAAAGAGGAGUGGCGAACGGGUGAGUAACACGUGGGUAACCUGCCCAUCAGCGCCGCGUAACACUUGGAAACAGGUGCUAAUACCGUAUAACAAUCAAAACCGCAUGGUUUUGAUUUGAAAGGCGCCGCGUGGUGUCGCUGAUGGAUGGACCCGCGGUGCAUUAGCUAGUUGGUGAGGUAACGGCUCACCAAGGCCACGAUGCAUAGCCGACCUGAGAGGGUGAUCGGCCACAUUGGGACUGAGACACGGCCCAAACUCCUACGGGAGGCAGCAGUAGGGAAUCUUCGGCAAUGGACGAAAGUCUGACCGAGCAACGCCGCG